rnacentral:misc_RNA from 1 species
UGCGUGUGCACCAAUAGAUAUACCUACACAGGGCUUAUCAAAUAUCAAGCCACAUUGAUCUUUUUUUUUUUAAUUUCUUUUGGAUAAAAAAAAGGCAAAAAAAAUAAGGAAUCGAAAAACUUCUUGUUGAGCUGUGUGCGCACGACAUAACCAAGGGUGCUUCUAUGGAGGCACCUUCUGAUUGCUUUUGGCAAUCGGUGUCUGAUUGAUAUAAAAAACCAUGGAAAACUGAAUCUAAUAUAUUAACUAUGGUAAACAGAAUUCAGCUCCAAAGCUAUAGUGCAUGGUGAUUUUAAUUUAAACAUACAAUCAAAAAAUAAACUCCGCCUAAGUAG